UUAAAUGUAAUGAAAGAGAAAUGCGUUACAAAUGAAAUUAUUAGAGAGUCUGUGGUUGGUGGGAACAGAUAAUUUUUUUGUAGACGAUACCGCUCUUGAACAGAAAAUUUGAAAUUAAGUAGAAUUUUCCGGUUUGCAUCGUUAUUUGCUUAGGAGAGAAGCAUUUGCUUUAAUUGGGUGGAACCGCGGAAUUUAACUUUCGUCCCUUGA
rnacentral:ncRNA from 1 species